AUACGUAGGGGGCGAGCGUUGUCCGGAAUGAUUGGGCGUAAAGGGCGCGUAGGCGGCCCGGUAAGUCUGGAGUGAAAGUCCUGUUUUCAAGAUGGGAAUUGCUUUGGAUACUGAUGGGCUUGAGUGCAGGAGAGGUUAUCGGAAUUCCCGGUGUAGCGGUGAAAUGCGUAGAGAUCGGGAGGAACACCAGUGGCGAAGGCGGGUAACUGGACUGCAACUGACGCUGAGGCGCGAAAGUGUGGGGAGCAAACAGGAUUAGAUACCCUGGUAGUCCACACUGUAAACGAUGAAUGCUAGGUGUAAGAGGUAUCGACCCCUUUUGUACCGGAGUCAACACAAUAAGCAUUCCGCCUGGGGAGUACGGCCGCAAGGUUGAAACUCAAAUGAAUUGACGGGG
rnacentral:rRNA from 1 species